rnacentral:rRNA from 1 species
CCUACGGGAGGCAGCAGUGAGGAAUUUUCCGCAAUGGGCGAAAGCCUGACGGAGCAAUGUCGCGUGGAGGAAGAAGGCCCGUGGGUCGUAAACUCCUUUUGUCAAAGAAGAAGAAAUGACGGUAUUUGACGAAUAAGCAUCGGCUAACCCUGUGCCAGCAGCCGCGGUAAUACAGGGGAUGCAAGCGUUAUCCGGAAUUAUUGGGCGUAAAGGGUCCUGAGGUGGCUAUCCAAGUCUAUUGUGAAAUAUCAGGGCUUAACCUUGAACAUGCGGUGGAAACUAGAAAGCUUGAGUACAGUAGGGGCGGAGGGAAUUUCCGGUGGGGCGGUGAAAUGCAUAGAUAUCGGGAAGAACACCAACGGCGAAAGCACUCCGCUGGGCUGAUACUGACACUGACAGACGAAAGCUAGGGUAGCGAAUGGGAUUAGAUACCCCAGUAGUCCUAGCCGUAAACGAUGGACACUAACUAUUGAAUGAAAACAAAUCGUACAGUGGUGAAGCUAACGCGAUAAGUGUCCCGCCUGGGGAGUAUGCUCGCAAGGGUGAAACUCAAAGGAAUUGACGGGGGCCCGCACAAGCGGUGGAGCAUGUGGUUUAAUUCGAUACAACGCGAAGAACCUUACCAGGGCUUGACAUUUUACUUUCCUUUUUGAAAAAAAGGGUGUACUGCUUUUCGAAGUAGAGGUAUAAACAGGUGGUGCAUGGCUGUCGUCAGCUUGUGCCGUGAGGUGUCGGGUUAAGUCCUUUAACGAGCGCAACCCUUUGUCUUUAGUUGAGUCUAUGUUUUAUAAACAUAGGAUCCAAACUAGAGAGACUGCCGGUGAUAAGCCGGAGGAAGGAGAGGAUGACGUCAAGUCAGCAUGCCCCUUACGUCCUGGGCUACACACGUGCUACAAUGGCCGGGACAAUGAGAUGCAACCCUGCGAAGGCAAGCUAACCUCAAAAACCCGGUCUCAGUUCGGAUUGCAGGCUGCAACUCGCCUGCAUGAAGUCGGAAUCGCUAGUAAACGCUGGUCAGCCAUACAGCGUUGAAUAUUGUUCCCGGGCCUUGUACACACCGCCCGUCACAUUCGGGGAAUUGGGUUGGUUCGAAAUCAUUAUCUUAACCUUUUAGGAGAGAGGUGCUUACAGCCGGUCUAGUGACUCAAAUGAAGUCGUAACAAGGUAGCCGUACUGGAAGGUGCGGCUG